rnacentral:rRNA from 1 species
GCAAGAUACCACGGGCGCACGGCGGAUGCCUUGGCACAGGGAGCCGAUGAAGGACGCGGCAAGCUGCGAUAAUCCCCGGCGAGGAGCACACAUCCUUCGACCCGGGGGUCUCCGAAUGGGCGAACCCAUCCACAGAGGUGUGGAUAUCCCCGCCCCGAACACAUAGGGGCGGGGAGGACAACCCGGGGAACUGAAACAUCUAAGUACCCGGAGGAGAGGAAAUCAAUCUCGAGACUCCCCGAGUAGCGGCGAGCGAAAGGGGACCGAUGGCCAAACCGUCGAGCGGGCAUACCCGGCAGGGGUUCCGCCGGCGGGGUUGCAGGGCCGCGCAUCCGGGGGCUGCCGCCCCCGGGCGCAGGUCCGGCUGGGGAGCGGAACGGCAUGGGAGGGCCGGCCGCAGCGGGUGACAGCCCCGUACGCGAACCCAGACCGGACGGCGCGACGCGGUCCCUGAGUAGGGCCGGGCACGUGAAACCCGGUCCGAACCUGGGUGGACCACCAUCCAAGCCUGAGUACUACCCUGUGACCGAUAGCGCACCAGUACCGUGAGGGAAAGGUGAAAAGCACCCCGGGAGGGGAGUGAAACAGUACCUGAAACCGUGCGCCCACGAGCAGUCGGAGCACCUCUAUGGUGUGACGGCGUGCCUUUUGUAGAAUGAGCCAGCGAGUCGCUGGCGCGGGGCGAGGUUAACCGAAAGGGAGCCGGAGCGAAAGCGAGCCUUAACAGGGCGACUUGAGUCCCGCGCCGCGGACGCGAAGCCGGGUGAGCUAUCCGUGGGCAGGCUGAAGCGGGGGUAAGACCCCGUGGAGGGCCGAACGCACGUCGGUUGAAAACGGCGGCGAUGACCUGCGGAUAGGGGUGAAAGGCCAAUCAAACCCGGAGAUAUCUCGUUCUCCCCGAAAUAGCUUUAGGGCUAGCGUCGCGCGUUCACCGCCGGAGGUAGAGCACCGGAUGGACGAGGGGGCUUCGCCGCCUACCGAAUCCAACCGAACUCCGAAUGCCGGCGGCCCAGAGCGCGGCAGUCAGAGCAUGUGGGCUAAGCUGUGUGCUCGAGAGGGAAACAGCCCGGACCGCCCGCUAAGGUCCCCAAGUUCCAGCCGAGUGGCAAAGGAUGUGCGUCCGCCCAGACAACCAGGAUGUUGGCUUAGAAGCAGCCAUGCAUUCAAAGAGUGCGUAACAGCUCACUGGUCGAGUGGACAUGCGCCGACAAUACACGGGGCUAAGCUGGACACCGAAGCGGCGGGAUUUUAAUUCAUUAGAAUCGGUAGGGGAGCUUCCCAUGGGCGGAGAAGCCGGAGGGCGACCGACGGUGGAGCGCAUGGGAGUGAGAAUGCUGGCAUGAGUAGCGAGAGACGAGAGAGUAACUCGUCCGCCGUGAACCCGAGGUUUCCUGGGCAAGGCUAAUCCUCCCAGGGUCAGUCGGGGGCUAAGGCGAGGCCGGUAGGCGUAGCCGACGCGCAGCAGGCAGACAUUCCUGCACCGCGCACGCGGCGCUACGACCGACGGGGCGACGGAUGGGGGUGGCUCGGCGGGGUUCUGGACGUCCCCGUGAUGGAGCGCGGCCCGCGGACCAGGGAAAUCCGGUCCGCAUUGAGGGCGAGGCUCCGGACGAAGCGACUGAGCGAAGCGAGUGAGCCCGAGGUCCCUAGAAAAACCCCUAGGCAGGCGCGUGCGCGCCCGUACCGCAAACCGACACAGGUGGGUGGGUAGAACAUACCGAGGCGAUCGGGUCAACCAUGGUCAAGGAACUCGGCACAAUGGCCCCGUAACUUCGGGAGAAGGGGUGCCCGCGCGUACGUGAACCGGCUUGCCCGGGGAGCGGAGGCGGGCCGCAGUGGAGAGGCCCAAGCGACUGUUUACCAAAAACACAGGACUCUGCAGAAGCCGCAAGGCGACGUAUAGGGUCUGACGCCUGCCCGGUGCCGGAAGGUCACGCGGAGGAGUUAGCCGCAAGGCGAAGCCCCGAAGCCAAGCCCCGGUAAACGGCGGCCGUAACUAUAACGGUCCUAAGGUAGCGAAAUUCCUUGUCGGGUAAGUUCCGACCUGCACGAAAGGCGCAACGACUUGGGCGCUGUCUCGACCAUGGACCCGGUGAAAUUGCACUGGUCGUGAAGAUGCGACUUACCCGCGGAAGGACGGAAAGACCCCGUGAACCUUCACUGCAGCUUGGCAUUGGCCGCUGGUCCCGCGUGUAGAGGAUAGGCAGGAGGCAUCGAUCCGGAGGCGCCAGCC